UUUCCAGCUCUAGCCUUGCUAAACUCACAGGCAGCUUCAGGCCACACAGGGCAGGUAUCGGGAGCUGGAGGAGAAGCUUGACUAUUUGCAGAGAAGUUCAGCACAGAGGGACAGAACCGAAGCUCUGCU